CCUACGGGGGGCAGCAGUGGGGAAUAUUGCACAAUGGGGGAAACCCUGAUGCAGCGACGCCGCGUGAGUGAAGAAGUAUUUCGGUAUGUAAAGCUCUAUCAGCAGGGAAGAAAAUGACGGUACCUGAUUAAGAAGCCCCGGCUAACUACGUGCCAGCAGCCGCGGUAAUACGUAGGGGGCAAGCGUUAUCCGGAUUUACUGGGUGUAAAGGGGGCGUAGACGGCAGCACAAGUCUGGAGUGAAAUGCCGGGGCUUAACCCCGGAACUGCUGUGGAAACUGUGCAGCUAGAGUGCAGGAGAGGUAAGUGGAAUGCCUAGUGUAGCGGUGAAAUGCGUAGAUAUUAGGAGGAACACCAGUGGCGAAGGCGGCUUACUGGACUGUAACUGACGUUGAGGCUCGAAAGCGUGGGGAGCAAACAGGAUUAGAUACCCGGGUAGUC
rnacentral:rRNA from 1 species